UCUUGUAGGCAAUUUUAUAUGGAUUAUUUGCGUAUGUACGAGAACAUUUUUUGCUGUGGGCCACCGUUUACGAGUUAUUUACGAAAAACUAAAAAAGGGAUCUUUAGUUAAUUAGGAAGUUAUUUACGAAAAACCAAAUUGCAAACAGCGUUGCUAUUGUCAUAAGGUAUUUUACAAAAUGCAGACUUAUUACAAUUUCCCUAAGGAAAUUUGCCCUUGACCCUGUUUUAUAAUUAUCAUUAUAUUCUUCUAUAGCAAAAACAUUUGUCUACAAUGCGUAAUUGCCUUAUAAUUAGUUAAAAGUAUAAGCCAGGACCGGAACGUAAUGACCGCGAGAAUGUAAAUAUUCAUAUUCAUUUUUUUUAGUUUUUCGUAAUAGGUAAUAAUUAGAACGAAAAAAGGUACGGGAAUAUAAAUGGAUAUGUGUACCGAAACGGCAAUAGGAAUGAGAAAUUGAUCAGGAAAGGGAUCGGGAACGGGACAAUUGUAGGGUUUUCGCCCUAUUUUUAGUGGGGCUCUUCUUUCAUUUUGUAUUUUACUUACUUUACUCUCUUGUCACUCAAAUAAGUAACUAUUUAUCGUGGUUACCCUAAAUUUCAUUACCAAGAAUAAAGAAUACUAGUUUACUCAAUCAAUUUCAUGGACUUUUGACUUUGUAAUCCUACCAUAAAAAAUAAUGAGAAAACUUGGAUUGCUUCUUGAAUUCGGGACAUAAAAAUAAAUUGGCAGAUGUAAUAGAAGCCAAAUGAAAAUGGUUACGCAGGCCGAAAUUAUAAUUUUGUUAAAUAUAUUUGUGCAUGUGUACUCAACAGAAUCAUUAUUUACUCUGUUUCACCAGGAUGUCUCAAAGCGUUUUGAUACAGUACAGAAUAUACAAUCAGAGAAAAGAGUAUGGAAUGAUUUAAGAAACAAAGUUCACAAGUAUUUCAAAGAGGGUCUUGGAAAACAAGACUCUCCGAUGGGUUACUUUAUUCAUGUAGUUCCAAAAAACAAUUUAAAAAACAGACGAUUAUUUGAAUACAACCGAUAUGAAGGCGAGAGUGUGAUUGGUGUCCCAUCAAACCAGUGGCAUCUUCCCGACGCAGAGCCAAUCCUACCUGGACACACGCUGUUAAGGCCCACGCUAGGGAUGCUGAAGUCAGCAGUGACGUUUCCUCACGUCGAACAUGAUAUCGGAACAGGCGGGGCAGGAAUUUACGGAAACCCAAGUAAUCUAGGUAUUCGAUACGGCGGCAGAAGUGGUAGAAUACUUUACAGCAGCAAUAGAAGAAUGUUGUCAGAUUACGCUGAGGUGAAGUCCAAGCCUACUGAUUUGACGUCAUCACUUCCAAAAUCUAAAUUCUAUCUCGUACCUGUUACUUUAGACUCGGUGAGAGACAGCGGAGCAAAGAAAUUGAUCAUUGACAUAUUAAACAACAUAAAUCCUAACCAAACCUACCGGCACAGAAUUAUAAAAUAACUGGGAACGGGUUAAAGAGAAGUAUUGAUGUGAGUGACUACGGAAUUACAAGAAUAAAAAAAAGUAUCAGAAGGACCCCGAAAUCGUCAUCUAGAGAAAACACAAACAAGCAGUUUUGGAUCACAAAAAGCAUGUUUGACCAUAUAAAAUUAAACUCAAACAAACCAGAACUCUCGGAUUUGAUACCACCGGAUACCAAUAAAGUUCCCCGAAACUGGUGGUAUUUCAAUGAGGAUGAUUUAAGUCAACUCCAAGCUGCACUGUGACCACCCUACGACGUGUAUUCAUUUGAUUUUUUUCAUGUAUUAAAUCAAGUUUUUCUGUAGUUGACUGUAAAAAUAUUAGAACGAAUACAUAAUACACAAAAAGGCUUACUAGUCGUAGACGAUUUAUUUACGAUGAGUAGGUAAUUUCGGUCCA